GACAGAGGUGCCGAGCGUUAGGCGGAAUCACUGGGCUUAAAGCGUGUGUAGGCGGAUCGUUAAGUACCUUGUGAAAUCCCACGGCUUAACCGUGGAACUGCUGGGUAUACUGGCGAUCUUGAGGUGCUCAGGGGCGAGCGGAACAGAUGGUGGAGCGGUGAAAUGCGUAGAUAUCGCUUGGAACGCCGAAGGUGAAAACAGGCUGCUGGGGUUGUGCCGACGCUGAGACACGAAAGCCAGGGGAGCAAACGGG
rnacentral:rRNA from 1 species